AGAGUUGCCAUGGUCAGUCCAAGGCUUAUCUAUUGCAUUCCAGAUGUGUUGACCCCUGGGAUUUCCCCAAAUGUGGGACACUGGACUGCAUAGUUUGUGGUAGUGGGGACCACACUGGCACUUUCUUC
rnacentral:snRNA from 1 species